AGAAAUUAGAUUCUCGGCGUACCGCUCAGUAAAGUGGGUAACCUGCCCUAUGCUGGAUAAUAACCUCGGGAAACUGAGUAUAAUGAUCCAUAGUUCACUACGCCUGGAACGGUGAGUGGAUGAAAGCUCCGGCGGCAUAGGAUGGGCCUGCGGCGUAUCAGGUUGUAGGGGGUGUAACGUACCCUCUAGCCCUCUACGCGUACGGGUGUUGGGAGACAUAGCCCGGAGAUGGAUUCUGAGACACGAAUCCAGACCCUACGGGGUGCAGCAGGCGCGAAAACUUGGCAAUGCGAGAAAUCGUGACCAGGGAACUCCAAGUGCAUCGGGUAAGACCGGUGCUUUUCUUGACUCUAAAUAGGUCUUGGAAUAAGGGGUGGGUAAGGACGGUGCCAGCCGCCGCGGUAAUACCGGCGCCUCAAGUGGUAGUCGCUUUUAUUGGGCCUAAAACGUCCGUAGCCGGUCUGAUACAUUCGUGGGUAAAUCAACCAGCUCAACUGAUUGAAUUCUGCGAGCACGGCCAGACUUGGGACCGGGAGAGGUGUGGGGUACGCUCAGGGUAGGGGUAAAAUCCUGUCAUCCUGAGCGGACCACCUGUUGCGAAGGCGCCACACUAGAACGGAUCCGACGGUCAGGGACGAAGCCUAGGGGCACGAACCGGAUUAGAUACCCGGGUAGUCCUAGGUGUAAAC
rnacentral:rRNA from 1 species